rnacentral:lncRNA from 1 species
CUUAGAGAGAGUUGUCUCGCGCCCCUAGGUAUUCUCUACUUACCCACCUGUGUCGGUUUCCGGUACAGGUACCCUCUUGUUGUAGGUCGUUCGAACUUUUCCUGGGAGUAUGGCAUCAAUUACUUUAGCGCCAGAGUGCAUGCCUCGUACUCGUACUCGAAUUUUGGCUUGAGGCAUUUUCUCUACCCCUUACUUACCCUGAAAAAACAGGGAGUCACCUUAUGUUCUUGAACCGAUAACCAUCUUUCGGCUAACCUAGCCUCCUCCGUCGCAAUCAACUAGCCUUAGGAUUUAGAGACAUCGUAGGCCAAAUGAAAUGGAUGCAUAAAGAAGGGGAACUAGAUGAAGAGGGAGGAGAAUGGAUCAAAACUCAAAUUGAUCAAAGGAGGACUUUUACCAAGUUAAUAUCAUUCAUUUUGGGAGAUGGAAUGUACAUUCCACCAAUCCCCUAAAUCCAAUGAUAUUAACCUAGCAAAGUCAAAUCAACCUUGACCAAGGCCCAAGAACACAAGUCAAACUUACACAAACCAUCAUAAGAGGUCAACACAAUUAUUUGGCAUUUAUUCAAUUUUAAAAUACUAAAAUAAAGCAUUUAAAUUAAAUAUGGUUUGUCAAAUUCCUAAAACCUCAUCAAAACACUAAAGAAAUGGCCAUGAGAUUUAUCAUAGGUCGAACAAGGUCAAAGAACCUUGGAGAAAAAAAUUCAGAAUUUUUAAAGACUUAAAAGUAUUUUUAAACAAUUAAAAUUAAUCACAAAAUCAAUUAAAUCAUGAAAAAUAUUAAUAAUGAUCCAAAAAAUAAUUUUAAUUCAAAUUAUGAAAGAGAAAAUUAUUUGAAUUUUUUUGGUGAAACUCUCAUAUUUUUUGGAUCAAUAUUAAAAUUAAUAUGAAUUAAUGAAAAUCAAAUGAAUUAAAACAAAAAUCAAAAAAUCAAAAAAACGUGAGCCACUUGAUCUCCCUCAUAGUGAAACUCUCAUAUUUUUUGGAUCAAUAUUAAAAUUAAUAUGAAUUAAUGAAAAUCAAAUGAAUUAAAACAAAAAUCAAAAAAUCAAAAAAACGUGAGCCACUUGAUCUCCCUCAUUAAUUGAGGUAACAGAUCAAGUGGACACAAACGCGCGUUCCAUGAUUGAACUCAGUCAGCGCGCCACACGCGUGGUAAUCAAAACCAACAUCUAAGAUUAAAACAAUUUGAAUGGAUCAUGUGGCUGGGAGACGUGCCAACACACCGCGAGAGCCAGAGCUCCGGUCUUCUUCUCUGGUGGACCUCACCGGACUGGUCUACCCUCAACCAUCACCAAAACAAAAAAGGAGGACAUGAUCUGAAAGAAAAAAUGGCGUAAAGCACGAAUCUGACCUCAAUUUCAACUAACUCCAAAUAUAUAAAAAGAUAUGAGGAGUUGAAUUUUGAGGUGUGAAAACUGAGUUGCUUCAAUUUGACCUCAAAGCAACUCAAUCUUCUUUCCUACAUUGGUAGGACUUCAGACAACCAAAGAUUCAUGAGAAUUGAUGAGAAUUGAGUGAGAAUCGAAGAGAAGAAGUUUUCUGAAAUUUACCUUCAAUGCUGUGCAGAAAUGGAUCUUGCUUGCUUCAACCUUGAUCUGAUCACACUUGAGAAGCUUGCAGGAGAGGUUUGGCAAUGGUGCAAAGCUUCGGAUCCUGGAGUUUUUGAAUCUCCAAACAGUGAGAUUCAAACUCUAUUUUCAAGUUGAAAAUUCUCAGGCUUUCCUUUGAAUUGUGAGGGUUUCAAUUGGGGAGCAAAGCUGGCGCGCAAGGUGUGUUUGAAAUAAGCUCAGAGGCCUUCUAUUUAUAGCAUUUGGGAUAGAUAAUUGCAAACUUGAAAAUUUUCUAAAUUUGGCAAUAUGAUGUGUAAGACCCCAAUUUGGACCCUAAGAUCCCUCAUGCAAUUUCAUCAUAAGCAUUAGCAUUGGGAUCAUACCUUGGCAUCCUUCUUACCCCUCUUUCAUUGAGUUUGUUUUGGUAGAGAUCACCAAGUACUAUGCGAUUGUAUAUACUUGUAUAUCAUCAUUUUACUAACCAAAAUACCAAAAAUAUGUCUUUGCAUUUGCCUAACUCUUUUGUAGGUGGGGCAUGAUCUCCAUUUAUCUAUCAAGUUCAUAUCUAGAGUUUGAGACCCUCAUGACAAAGAGAACAACUAUGAUUUGAUCCAAGAAUGGUUAUAAGCAUCAUAUAUGAGUUCCAUUGAUUCCUACAUGUUAUAUUGAUCAAGUUUUCCUCAAGAGUUUGGAGGUGAUUUGCCUUGGAAACCCUCAAGUUUGACUGGGUAUCUUGAGUAACUUCUCCAACAAGAUAUCUCACCAAUUGAUCAAAUUUCUCAAGGGACACUUUAAAAUUCAUCAUAUUAUGCAUAUAUGAUCUACCAUAAGCCAAGAAAGUCAAGAUAAUUGAAGGUUAGCGAGUUGGUUGAUGGUGGUUGGCCAGAUGAAUUCAUCUUAUCAAAAGUGGGUCUCCCUAGACCCUAUCUCCUACAAUUUUCCCCAUAUGGGAAUUAUUCCAAGAGAAAAUUUACUCUAAAUGACAUUCCAAACAACUUUCAUCUGGAGACCUAGAGCUAGUUUUGCUUGGAAAAUCAUUUUCUAUGUUGAAACAUUAUAGGUCAUUUUGUCUAAACCCUAAUUUGAAAGUCAACUUCCCAAGGCCAUAACUUGCUCAUUUUUUAUGAGAUGAAUUUCUAUGUUGAAACAUUAUAGGUCAUUUUGUCUAAACCCUAAUUUGAAAGUCAACUUCCCAAGGCCAUAACUUGCUCAUUUUUUAUGAGAUGAAAUAUUUCCAAGUUGCACAAUCAAAUUCAAGAUAUCUACUUAAACUUUUAUGUUUGUAGUGAGAGCUAAUUCAACUUUUAUGAGCAUGUGAUAUGAGGUUACGUUAUAGGUCAUUUUUGACCUAUACCAUUGAACAUGUGAUUUUUCCAAACUUCCAAAAUGCAUAACUCUAUCAUUCUAAAUCCAAAUGACAUGAAAUUGGUGACCAUUUUUAAGUCCUUUGAAAUAACUAUAACUUUUAUGAAUACACGUUUCUAAUUUGAGGCUCACACAAAAAGUUAAGCAAGGUGGAAUAUUGAGAUAUAUGGCUUGACACUUAGAAAAAUUUUCAACAUGUUGAAAUUUCCAAACUUCCACCUCAAAUAAGAGGUACAAGGUUCGAGGUUUACUUUUUCACAACUUGUAGUUUGAUGUUCCCCUUGAUCCAAGCUUUCCAAAGAACCCAAGUUCAUGCAUUUUGGAUGAGGUUUGCUAGGUCUGCGCAUGGCUUUAACAGGGCCUCAUCAUUGGAAAGAAUCAAUUGCACAAACUUCAGUUCAUAAUGCCUUGCCAUUAAAGCUUCAUUCAGACCUCAAUUGGAAUCAUUUUGGACCUUUUUGCAUUGCAUCAUGGGCCUGUACAUGCACUCGUGCCAUCCACAUUGCUAAUUUUGGACAGAUUUUUGAAGUGUGCAAAUAUCAUUCCCUUUGGCUAUAAAUAGAAGGCCUCUGAGCUCAUUUGAGGAAGACUUUGCACGCCAGCUUUGCCCCCCAUUGAAACCCUCUCAUUCUAAAGGAAAACCUGAGAAAAUAUGAGAGUUUCACCA